GCAACUCGAGUGCAUGAAGCUGGAAUCGCUAGUAAUCGCGGAUCAGAAUGCCGCGGUGAAUACGUUCCCGGGUCUUGUACACACCGCCCGUCACACCAUGGGAGUCGAUAACGCCCGAAGUCAGUGACCCAACCUUAUAGGAGGGAGCUGCCGAAGGCGGGAUUGAUAACUGGGGUGAAGUCGUAACAAGGUACC
rnacentral:rRNA from 1 species